GGGCCCGCACAAGCGGUGGAGCAUGUGGUUCAAUUCGAUGCUACGCGAAAAACCUUACCCAGACUUGACAUCCCGGGCUACCCUGUGAAAGCAGGGGUUCCUUUAUUGGACCCGGUGACAGGUGCUGCAUGGCUGUCGUCAGCUCGUGUUGUGAGAUGUUGGGUUAAGUCCCGCAACGAGCGCAACCCUCGUCGUUAGUUGCCAGCAUUAAGUUGGGCACUCUAGCGAGACCGCUGGACUAUAAGUCAGAGGAAGGUGGGGAUGACGUCAAGUCCUCAUGGCCUUUAUGUCUGGGGCUACACACGUGCUACAAUGGACGGCACAAAGCGCUGCUACUUCGCGAGAAGAUGAAUAUCGCAAAAAUCCGUCCUCAGUUCAGAUUGGAGUCUGCAACUCGACUCCAUGAAGUUGGAAUCGCUAGUAAUCGCGGAUCAGCAUGCCGCGGUGAAUACGUUCCCGGGCCUU
rnacentral:rRNA from 1 species